rnacentral:lncRNA from 10 species
UGGAAGCAGAUCGGCGGCCGCGGGGAGGUUCGGGGCGGCGCAGCCCCGCGCGGUUGUGGGAUCGCUCCCGGGGGCCGCUCCUCUCUCGGGCACUGGGGUCGCGGGAGACGUCGUCGGGAGCUCGGUUUCUGGAGGCCCUUCCCCACCCGGCCUCUGCCUCCUCCACUCCCCCGGGCUGGACGGAACGGGGCCCAGCGCGGGAUGCGAGAGGUAUGAUUUCGCUCUGUCGCCCAGGCUGGAGGGCAGUGGCGCAAUCUCGGCUCACUGCAGCCUCGAACUCCUAGGCUGAAGCGAUUCUCCCGCCUCAGCCUCCAAAGUAGCCGGUACUACAGGCGCGCGCCACCACGCCUGGCUAAGGUGUGUGUGUGUGUGUGUGUGUGUGUGUCUCCAAAGUAGCGAGGACUACGGGUGUGUGUGUGUGUGUGUGUCUCCAAAGUAGCGAGGACUACAGGCUCCCGCCACUACGCCAGGCUAAGGUAGGGUGUGUAUGUGUGUUAACUUUUUGUAGAGAUGGGAUCUCCCUUUGUAACACGGGCGCCCGCCACUAAGCCAGGCUAAGGUGGUGAAUGUGUGUGUGUGUGUGUGUUAACUUUUUGUAGAGAUGGGAUCUCGCUUCGUAACCCGGGCUGGUAUCGAACUCCUGUCUUCAAGGAAUCCUCCCGUCUGGACUCCUCCCAUGGGAUUACGGGCAUGAGCCACGGCACCUGGCUAUUUUUUUUUUCUAAGCAUUUAAAUAAGCUGGGGCUUGAUUUGGGAGUUUUCUAUUGUAUUUUGAGCUUUGCCGAGGACUUGAUAGUGACCUUGCUUUAAGCUGUGAAAUAAAUCUUGGGGUCCCAGAGCUAUUUUAAUAUUGAAUUCGCUGUGGAGUUGUUUUGAGUUCCUUGGAGGUUAACAUGAGAUAGAAAACUAAGUUAACACAACUCAUCGACUGCCCUUGCUUUGCUUUGCUUUGCUUUUAGAAUGCCAUCGGGUUUUGUCAUGUUGGGAACAAGUUAACUUAGGCCAGUUGACUAAGAUCAAGACCUCAGUACCUGUUCGUGACAAAUCCAGUUACUAAAAGGUAAGAGAAGGAAUAAGGGACUUGAUAUUUAUCUAGCAUCAGCAAUGUGUGGACAUCGUGUGAACGGCUUUAUAAACAUUUCAUUUAAUUCUCUACAUCUAGCCAUUUUUUAACCUGUGCUUUCCCUCCCUCUCAAAGUACUGUUUAUACAUUUAUUAGUCCAUAUUUUAAACGCUCCAUGCUCUCAACUGUAUUAAUGCUAUUUGUUAGGAUAAGUGGCAGAUGUCCAUGGAAAAUAAGUGGCUGCAAAGUGGUAAUGCUGACCAGAUGAGAAAAGAAGUGUAAAAGGGAAGUUCUAAAGAAUUAAAGCCCUGGAGAGGGUGGGUAGACAACAACAGUCCAAAAUAGUGCUCUUCAUUGAGGCUGUGUAGAUUUUCCUGCUUCCUGGGAAAACUGGGGCAUAUUUACACUUGCAUGUGUGUAUUCAGAUUGUCUGGGGCUAUGGAGUUUGGGUCAGAUUGCUGAACCCGUGGGAGAGAAGUUCCCUUGUUGUCUGUUGUUGUCUGUUCUGAUUGCUGCUUUGUAAUUUGGGCCACAUAUGAAAGUCAGCAUCCAGUCAUUGGACCAUAGGUGUGUGGCAUAUCUACUCAGAUGCAUUAAGCUAUUUUUAUUUCAUUAUAAAAUGUAUAACAUUUACAUUCAAAUUAUGGUUUGAAGGGCUUAAGAGGAGAAAGAGACAGUGGCACUAAGGUGACAGCAUGGCUGGCUGCAUGCUUCCUGUCCAAGAAGGUCACUGGGCAGUGUUAACUGGGAAGAGCAUCUGGAGGAUGAGAGAUCAGUGUAGCCACAUACCCUUAACAAAGGGUGGUACAGCCUCUGGUCUGCCAGGAUUUUUGUGCCCCGCCCCCCUCCCCCUCUUUCCCUAUCUCCUCUUUGACAUUUCCACCAUAUUCCCCUUAGGUAUGUACCUGUUUGGACUUUAAUUUAGAGUGUAACUUUUGGUCAAGAAUCCUGGAGAGAAAAGACGGGUACUAAAGCCUCGCUAGUGAUUUACCUGGGUGCCGACCCCCACAACUCAUCCACCCUACAUGCAUACUUCAAACUCCUCCAGGCAGAUACUCCCUGCCUGACACACAGUGACACUUUGGGAAAAAUUGCAGAACAGUAACCAACUCUGAGCAGAUAAAUGUGAUGUCAAAAUGAUAGUAAUGAGAGAUGUCGUUCGUUGAAAGCCUGCUAGCUGCCAUGCACUAUACUAUUUCUUACAUCUAAAUCUGAUUAAGUUAUACCCCAUUUUAUAAAUAGACACUUUGAUAAGUAAACCUAUCUAAGAUCAAAAUACUGAGAAAUGUCCUAAUUGGGGAUUUGAACCUGGUUCUAAUUCCAAAGUCCAAGCUACAUCCACCCCAACCUCCUACCUCCUAUCUCCAAGACUUUGUGAGUAAAAAAACAAGUGUCACUUCUCUCCUUCUCUUUUUUCUGUCCUAAAGGAAGCUGGGAGCUAACCACUUAGGACUAGUACUAAUCUUUCAGAGAAAGGGAUGAGGGGAGCCUUGUUAUUUCUGUGGGGUUCAGCUCUCAGACCAGAGUAAGACAGGCAACAAGGUUGAGGAGUAGCCAUAUGCAGAAAUAACCUGUGUAUCUAGCCACAGGAUCUCCAACACUGUGUCACUCGGGAAUCAAAAUACAGAGACAGUUCCUCAAUAGAGUGUGGAUCUAGCCCAGAAUGUGGACAAGGGGAGUGGAGAAGGGGAGAGGUACACACUGAGCAUUGUAACAAGGCCUGUCCUCAAGCUUGAGGAGGAUUAGGAAGAUGGCUUGAGUCUGGGAGUAGGAGGCUGCAGUGAGCUAUGAUUGUACCACUGUACCCCAGCCUAGGUGACAGAGUGAGACCCUGUCUCUUAAAAGAAAAAAAAAAUUGACCUGGAUCUACUCAUACCCACCCUGGUCUUUGAGCAGAAAGAAUCAUUUGGGAAUUAUUUUGUCUCAUCUUUCUCCAUGAUCACUGUUGAAGAAUUUGGUCACUGUAACCAGGUAAAUAUAAAACUCAGGUGGGCCGGGCGCGGUGGUUCACACCUGUAAUCCCAGCAGUUUGGGAGGCUGAGGUGAGUGGAUCACGAGGUCAGGAGAUCAAGACCAUCCUGGCUAACACAGUGAAACCCUGUCUCUAUUAAAAAUACAAAAAAUUAGCCAGGCGUGGUGGUGGGCGCCUAUAGCUCCAGCUGCUCGGGAGGCUGAGGCAGGAGAAUGGUGUGAACCCGGGAGGUGGAGGUUGCAGUGAGCCGAGAUCGUGCCACUGCACUCCAGCCUGGGUGACAGAGCAAGACUCCGUCUCAAAAAAAACUCAGAUGAACUAUAGCUAAGUCAGUGCUCUUGACACUUUUUUAGCAAUAGUAGCUUUGUUUCUCACAGAAAAAACAAAAUUUUCUGUGGAACCACACUAUUUAAAACAUAAGCAAUAUUAGUAUCAACUUGUAUAAUUUAUAGAUCUACUGAUAAAAACAAUCAAGAAUAGUCUACCUUAAUUGAAUCAGGAGGAGAUAACUGCAGUCUUACAUCAGCCAUACUCGUAUCCAUGAAAUAUGAGUCAGUCAUUUGCACAACUCCCUGAGUCACCUUCUGGAACACAGAAAACACUGAGCCAAGUUAGCCCAGGACCUGAACCUUUUGUGGAAAGGAAAAUCUGUAGUGUCUCCUCAGAGUAUGGCUGCCCUUUCACCUGGUAGUCAGUUUCUCAUGACGGUUACUCGAGCAUUUAUAAGGCAGUUGUGAAAUAACCAAGACAUUCUGUGUGUUGUGCUACUGAUGCUCCUCCUGUCACCGACCUCCUCUCCAAAUGAGGCCUGCCUUUUGUCCUUGGUAGUAGGCAGUCCACAGUGUAACCAGCUACAGGGGAAGUAUUUACUUUGAUAGCCACUUGACCUUGAUCAAGUCAGGUGACUCAUUUCUGGAUAACAUUUUUGAGAGUAUACUGAGCCAGGCACCUUGAGGAUACGAAAGUGGAUUAUAGUUUCCAUUCUGGAGAAACUCACAGUCCAGUAAGUUAAACAAUCACAAGAACAAGUUUCCAGCAAUGAGAGUGAUUACAGCCACUGAGUGGUGAAAUCUGAGAAAUGCAAAGCCUGCCGCCUAUAAAUACCUACAUUUAUCGCCUGGGCAUAUACCUAAAAUUCCACCAUGAGAAAUAUAUUUAUAUGAAAUUAGAAACUACCCAGAAAUUGUGCGUCCAAAUAAAAAUUCCCACAAGAAAUAAGGAUGGCUAAUAGUUUUAAGUAGUAGUGUCAAGUCUUUUGGACCAGAGUAACUGCCAGGGACGUUGUGUUGAGGAUUCUGAGGUCAUGUUCCAGCUUAGCCGAGAAGGGAGCCACCAUGAGGGAACGAGUGAGGGAGGGUAGCACUUGUGCCCCAUAUUUUUUCCUAAGUAAAUCAUUUGUUGAUGGAAUGCAUGAUGAAACAGGGACAGCCAGGGUCUCUGGCAUCUGGGAGAAAGCCCACUUGGAAACUGAUUUAUCUACCUCACCACUGCAAGUUCACCAUUUGUCCCCAGACUAAAUGGCCUUAGGAAGCCCAGGCUCUGUCUUGUCGAACUCUACCUUCUUUAUCCUUCCAUACUUUUCAAGAAGAGAAAUGGUAUAUAUAUGUGGGAUCCUUGAGAACUAGGAUGUACCUGUGAGCAGGCAAAGUGUAGCAUCUAGCAGGGUCAGGCAUAAGUUGGAAGUGAGAGAGGUGGCUACUGUGCUCCCCAAUGGCUGUUCUCCCAUCUCCCAUAGUUUCAAGGCCUGUUUUGUGAGGAACAGCAGUAUGCCCAGCUCAAAGAUGACAGCUGGCCACAGGACUAAGUCUGGCCAAUAAGAUGUGAGUGGACGCUUCCAGAAAAGCUCUCUAAAGAGGCUACCUCUAGCCAGGCGCAGUGGCUCACGCCUGUAAUCCUAGCACUUUGGGAGGCCAAGGCAGUGGAUCACCUGAGGUCGAGAGUUCAAGACCAGCCUGGCCAACAUGGCAAAACCCCGUCUCUACUAAACAUACAAAAAUUAGCCGGGCAUGGCCGUGCCGCAUGCCUGUAAUCCCAGCUACUCAGGAGGCUGAGGAGGGAGAACUGCUUGAACCCAGGAGGUGGAGGUUUGCAGUGAGCUGAGAUGUUGCCACUGCACUCCAGCCUGCACGACAGGAGCGAGCCUCCAUCUCAAAAAAAAAAAAAAAAUAAAAGCUGCCUCUUCUCUGCUUCUUGGAGUAUGGUCAGGAUAGCUGGAAUUCUAGCAUCCAGUUUUGAAUGCCAAGUGACCUUGAAGAUAGAAGCCAUGAACUAAGAUAAUGUCCCUGUGUAAGCUUCUUUUACAUGAGAGAAAUAAACUGUGUGUAUAAAUCAUUGUUAUUUUGAAUUCCCAAGUUGUAUGCAGGCAAAUGUAAUCCCGAUCUAGCCAGGAAUUGGUAUUAUUCAUUGAUAAGAGCUUCAUAUAUUCAUGUUGACAGUUUUCCUUGAUUGGCCCCCAGAUGAUAGGUAUUGUGACCAAGACCUGUGGGGCUAUCAUGUGUACUUGGCUCCCUAUAGGAGAAUCCAGGAUGGAAUGGAAUGAUACAGUAGGCAGCCUCUGGAGCCAAGAUACGGUAUAGGUAGGAAAAAGAAAUGAUUCACCCAAGAGGCAGAUUAGGCCCAUGAAAAUUAGGAUUGUCAGAUGCAUUACUUUAAUACAGCACUUCUUCAGUAUUCCCAGAACUGUAGCUAAUGGUUCCUCUGAAUAGGAAGCUCCUUGAAUAUACCCUGGCAAGAAAUCUUUCUAUCCAAGGUGACUGGCAUUGGGAGGGGAUUUAUUGAGUGUCUCCCUCGAGCCAGGCACUUUCACAUACCUUAAUCUUAGUUAACUGGCUUCACUUCAGACCCUGUCCCUAACAGGACAAAACCCAACAGCAUUUUGAAAGCAAAACAGGGAUAGUUGAUGAGUUGUAUUAACGUACUUGUCUCUGUCUCACGUUAGUAACCUCCAAGGAACUCAAAACGCACUGCAGCUAUAAUUCGACAUUAAAAUAGCCCUGGGCCCCCCAGGAGCAGCUCAAUAGACCCUACUGAAGCAGGCGGUCCUGUCCCUCCCCUGCUUAAAAUCUGUCAGUAGCUUCUCAUUGUUUUUAACUAAAAACCCAGCCCACCUGACAGUCAGGUUGGCCUGCUCGCCAGGCUUUCUCCCCAGCUGCUCAAACCUGCUCACAACUCCCUCUGUGUCUGCCACUCUGGCCUCUCACUUUACUCCUGUGACCUCGUCCCUCUGAGCACCAUUCCUCCCCACCUCUGCAUGUCUUUAAUCUGACUUAAGCUUCAAGGCCUGGCACAAACAAUGCUUUUCCUUUGUCCUUCAUACUGGAGAUCAUAAACUCGCAUAGAUUCUCUCUGAAUAAAUAAAUAUUUUCCAUGCCAGUUAGCAUUUUUUUAAAACUAUAAUGACUGCAAAAUAUAUUGUAUUAGGUGUACUCUAACUUAUUUAACCUCUCCCCAAAGAAUGGACAUUUCAUUUGUUUCUUUUUCAGGAUGAUAAAAAACAGUUACGGGAUGAAAAAAUUUUUUUUUAUUUUUUAUUUUUAGUAGAGAUGGGGUUUCACCAUGUUAGCCAGGAUGAUCUCGAUCUCCUGACCUUGUGAUCCACCCAUCUGGGCCUCCCAAAGUGCUGGGAUUACAGGCAUGAGCCACUGCACCCGGCCGGGGAUGAACAUUUUUAUAUGCUAAUCUUUGUCAGCAUCUGCUCAUUUCUAUAAAAGGAAUCAUUAGAAUUGGAAUUCCUAGGUCAUUUUGACCAAAAAGGAACAUUUUUAAAUCUCUUAAUAUUGCCAUAUGACAUCUUAGAAAGUUUACAUCAUUUUACACAAAUAAUUGUUUCCUUAUCGAUGUUCCAAACCUAGAGAACUUUUGGUCAUUCUGUGAUCUGUAAUUGGAGAAAUUUCCAUUGCUCUAGCAGCAUUUUAUACAUACUUAUCAAGAUGUAUUAUGAUUUAUACACAUUUAUCAAGAUGUAUUAUGUUUUACUUGCAUUUCUCCAAGUAAGCUCUGAAGUGGAAAACAGAACUUGUUUUACUCUUUGUAGCACAGUACUGAGAACAGUAACACCUAACAGGCCCUUUCUAGGUAAAUCUGCAGAAACAGUAAUUGUCUCAAUCUCAGUUUCCCUGUGGUAGACCAAAAUAAAGCUUUGCAUACCUAACCUAGGGAAGCUGCAUACAGUUGGAGAGCUGGAUUCAACUAAACCUGGCCUGACAGCUCUUCAACAUGUUUUUCUUUUCCAAGUUCCACAUUGCUCACUGUGUCCUUUUAACACUCCUGUUUUUUAUUUUAUCCAUCACACGAAGUUGUAGUUGGUUCUGCCUGCAGUGUUUCUCCAUGAUGUAAUAUAACCUCAUUAUAUACACUCAGGAGCCUGAGAAAUGAGUAUCACAAACCACAGAGUCUUCUUGUUGCUUAGUUACUAUCCUGCAUUUCCUGGAGACUUUACCUUGGCAAAGUAUAUGAUGCUACGUUUUAAUGAAUGUUGAUUGGUCACUGUAUGAUAAAUGCCAGGAAAAACAAUGAAUGAUAAAAAGAAGUGUAAAUCCCACUCUUCUGCCUAUAUCCCAGCUCCAUUUUCACGUCUUUUGGUAUCAGCCCCAGGAUUUGGGGUCUUCUGUUUGAAAAUGAGAUCAGUUCCGUAACAUCUGUAUAGCUUUGCUUGCUAUGGUACUGGGCUGGAAAGAGGCAGGUCAAAGCGAGUGCCCCCCUCACUGGUGUGCCCUGAGGAUGCAGAGGCCCUCUUUGCCUGGUGAUAACACCUUCAAUGCCCGUUAGGGGGCCCAAAAUUGCCAGUUUAUUAUCCCUUUGGGACUGAUGCCUUAAAAUCUCAUUUUGUCUUUGAGAAGUGGUAUUUGGAAUAUUCACACAUCAAAGUGUUAUCGUUCUCUGCUAGCACAGUACCAGCUAGUUUAUCUUAGCCAGCUGGCUUACCUCUCAAGGCACUAAAGGAACGGAAAAACACAGGGCAAUCUCUGUAAGCCUCGUUCCUUCACUUGGUAACCUCUGAAAAGCUAGAGAGAAAGGACCAGUGAGAGAACAGGAUCAGCUCUUGCUGGGGGUCCAGCCAGGAGCCACCAUGGAGGGCCUGGAGCACUUAGAGGAAAACAUGGGGACAUCAGGUAUGCAGGAGAUCAGGCAAAAAACAGUAAAGUCAGCUUAGGAAAGACUCGUACCUCUCACCCCCACUGCCUCAACCUCCUCCAAAGUGUAGAGUUCAUAGCUUUUCCUUGGGAAGCUUCUGUGUAUACAGUGCUCAACAGAAGAGAGGAACAGGAUUUAGGUUACUAUCUUCCAUACCCUAAAAGUGAACAUUGUAAUAUUGCAAAUACAGUAGCAGAAGGAAAGCACUUCUCAGGAAGUAAAAAUACAUCUACUCCUGCUAACAGUUUUCUCCAUUCACAAAAUAUUACUGAUUUUUUUAAAAUUUGGAAAGAAUAUUAAUAUUCAUAGAUGUUAGAUUAGUUGGGCAAAAUAUGCUAAAAAUUGCCAUUUAAUUUAUAAUAGUGAAAAACAAUGCAACCUAAAUGCCCAUGAAUGAUAACUAAUUACAUACAGUGGACUACAAUGGAAUUCUAUGAAGUCAUAAAAAUAAGGAUGUACAUCUGUAUUUAUUGUUAUAGAAAGAAAGCCACGAAAUAUUGUUGAGAGAGAAAGCAGAUUGCAAAACUGAAUAUAUAUGCAAAGAGAUGUUUUUAGGGAUAUUCACUGUUAAACAGUGAUUAACUUAGUUGACUUUUUUUUCCUCUGUUCCUUCUUUUUUCUUUUUUACUUUAAAUAUUUAUCUUUUUUAAAAGAAAUAAUACAUUUCCUCCCUCCAAAAAAGAAUAGCCUAGCGAAAUAUUUUUACUUCAAAUGCUUUUCCCCUUAUUAAUCUUUGUAUAAACCAUUGUGGUUUGCUAAAACAAGGAAGGUUGUAGAGUAGAAUCCAUGCCCACGUUAGAACAAAAUCCAGGCAGGAAGACACUUCAUACGUGGUUAUAAGACCAGGAGGACGAGGAGACAAAGGGAAGCAAUGGUGUUUGUUUGUUUGUUUGUUUGUUUUAAGAGACAGUGUCACUCUGUCACCCAGGUUGGAGUACAGUGGCACCAUCAUAGCUCAGUGCAGCCUCCAACCCCUGGGUUCCAGCGAUCCUCCCACCUAAGCCUCUCUAGUAUCUGGGACUACCGGUAUGCACCACCACAUCCAGCCAAUUUUUAAUUUUUCUUUUUUUGAGACAGGGUCUUGCUAUGUUGCCCAGGCUGGUCUCAAACUCCUAGGCUCAAGCAAACCUCCCAAAGCACUGGGAUUACACGUGUGAGCCACCACACCCGGCCUAGAAGCAAUGGUUCUGAUCCAGGAAAAGUGCAGCCUGGAAACUCAGCAAUCUGUACAGAAUCCUAGCUCUUAGACUAAAAGGCAUCAACUGGUACAAUUUCUUGCCUUUGGGCACUGAACGUGUUAGCUUCUAUUUUAUUUAACUUACUGUAAAAUUAUAUUAGCUAUGCUGCCACUUAAGCCAAGAUGCUUUCUGUCUAGUCACUUCGGUUCCAUCCUUUUGAGCGCCCUGCCGUUUCAUUGCCUCUCCUUUCUCAUUCCUCUCCCCAAGGCUGUACUUUGAGUAACUGUAUGUGCAUUUUCCUGUGCCUUUUCAUUAUUAAAACACUGUAAAAGGUAAUGUCUCCAAAAUGCAAACCAUAGUCUUCUCCAUUGAAAAAUAUUUUCCAGGCCAGGCACUCCACUGUGCCACUGCACUCCACCUGGAUGACAGAGUGAGACUCUGUCUCAAAAAAAAAACAAAAAACUCAUUAAACUGUAAAAUGGGCGCAUUUUAUUUUAUGUAAACUGUAUCUCAGUAAAGUUUAUUUAUUUAUUUUUGAGACAAAGUCUUGCCCUGUUGCCUAGGUUAAAGUGCAGUGGCAUAAUCAUGGCUCCCUGCAGCCUUGAACUCCUGGGCUCAAGCGAUCCUCCUACCUCAGCCUCCUCCCAAGUAUUUGGGACCACGGGCAUGUGCCACCAUGCCCAGCUAAUUUUUUUUUAAGAGAUGGCGUCUUGCUAUGUUGCCCAGGCUGGUCUCGAACUUCUGACCACAAGAGAUCCUCCUGUCUUGGCUUCCCAAAGUUUUGGGAUUACAGGCAUGAACCACCAGGCCUGACCAAAGUUGAUUUUAAAAAAUGAAAGGGGGGCCAAGCGCAGUGACUCAACCCUUAUAAUCCCAGCACUUUGGGAGGCCGAGGCGGGUGGAUCACCUGAGAUAGGGAGUUCAAGACCAGCCUGAUCAACAUGGAGAAACUCUGUCUCUACUAAAAAAUACAAAAUUAGCUGGGAGUGGUGGCGCAUGCCUGUAAUCCCAGCUACUCGGGAGGCCUCAGCUUGAACCCUGUAGGCAGAGGCUGCAGUGAGCUGAGAUCACGCCAUUGCACUCCAGCCUGAGCAACAAGAGCGAAACUCUGUCUCAAAAAAAAAAAAAAAAAGGGUCUGUGCUUGGUGGCUCACACCUGCAAUCCCAGCACUUUGGGAGGCCAAGGUGGGUGAAUCACCUGAGGUCAGGAGUUCGAGACCAGCCUGGCCAACGUGGUGAAACCCCUCUCUACUAAAAAUAAAAAAAUUAGCCAGGUGUGAUGGCGCACGCCUGUAGUCCCAGCUACUCAGGAGGCUGAGGCACAAGAAUUGCUUGAACCUAGGAGGCAGAGGUUGCAGUGAGCCGAGAUCAUGCCACUGCAUUCCAGCCUGGGUGACAGAGUGAGACUCCAUCUCAAAAAACAACAAAAAUGAAAGGGAAAUAAGAGUCAUUACCAAUAUAAUUAGGUUUAAAUUUUUAGUUAAAAUCAAAUUUUAACUGGGAUUGCCAAAAAUGUCCUUAACUUCAUAUCUCCAAAUAAAAUGUCUGCAGUUAAUUUAUGUUGUUUAUACAGCUAGCUAAUUCUCUAUAUUUUUAUAGUAUGUUGACACUUAAAAUUUCAAUCUCUUCUAGUGGUUCCAUGAGUGGGACUGAGGGGAUGAUGGGUGUUCUCAUUAUAGCCUUCAGAAGGCUGCCUAUAUAUAAGUGUGCACAAAUAACUAUUAUUCAGAGAAUUAGAAUCAUCACAAAAUAUCCUUUAUGAAGGAUAAAUAUAGGCUAAUUUAUCCUUUAUGACUGUUAAAUAUAGGCUAAUGUUUCUUUUAUUCUUCAGACCCAUUUCAACUUUAUAGAAAAAAAAGUAUGCACAAAAGCAGCACUCUAUAAUUAAAAAAAAUUCCUUAUUGGUCUUUUGGAUUUUGGUUCUGCAUAAGUAUGAGUUUCUCAUCAGGCCUCUCUAGACUACUAAAGCCUAAAGUGAUGCUUCCCCCAUCUCAGCUCUUAGAGGAAUUACUGGGUGUCUUGUUUAUUUGGCAAUUCCGUGCUUACAAACUCUUUUCAAUGAGAUCUUCAGCUCCUUGAGACCACAGUAGAUACCUACGUAUUUGUCGGUGUAAUUUUGUUGUGUUGAUUUACUGAAUUCAAAGGGUUUGUACAAAUACUUUGUUUACAGGGUUUCAUUACAAAUCCAAAUAAGCUCAUAUGCUUAGUAAUUCCAAAAAUGUUAUAGGUAUUCAGAUUAGCAUUGCUCAUUCAUGCCAUUUAAUUUACAGAGCUCAGCUGCAGUAAUUUUCUCCAGUGGAUGAUGUAAGGAAGGCAUUGGCAGAGGAGUAAGAGACUUGGCUUCAGAGUGGGCAGUAAUAGGGCUAAAUCUGGUUUUACAAAGCAGGUACUGUAAAGCUCUCAUUGCCUUUCUGAGGACAAGGCUUUGAGCUAUGAGUGCCAGGGUCGUCUGUCUAAGUGGAGGCUUCUUAAAGGAAUUGAGCCUCGUUUCCUGGGUUUGAGGUGUAUUCUUUUUCACAUUCCCUUUGUACACCAAAUAUAUUUAGUAUUUAUUAUCUUUGAAGUUUAGACCUUUGGAAUUUUUUUUUUUUUUUGAGGCAAAGUCUCACUGUAGCCCAGGCUGGAGUGCAGUGGUGUGAUCUCAGCUCAUUGCAACCUCUGCCUCCUAGGUUCAAGCGAUUCUCCUAUAUCAGCCUCCUGAGUAGCGAGGACUACAGGCACGUGCCCACCAUGCCCUGCUAAUUUUUGUAUUUUUAGUAGAGACAGGGUUUCACCAUGUUGGCCAGGCUGGUCUCAAACUCCUGACCUCAGGUGAUCUGCCUUCCCUGGCCUCCGGACAUGCUGGGAUUACAGGUGGGAGCCACCACGCCAGGCCACAGUUUGAUGAGUUUUGAGAAAGUAAUAUACGCAUGUAACCACCAUCACCACAAUCAAGAUCUAGAACAUUUCCAUCACCCCAAAAUUCCCUGGUACUCGUCCCUGGUCCCAGGCAAGCCCUGAUCUGUUUUCUGUCACUGUGGAUCAGAUUUGUCUUUUCUAGAGUCUCAUAAAAAUGUGAUCUUAUAAAAUGUAUAGACUCUUGUGUGUAAGGUUUCUUUUCCUCAGCAUAAUGUUUUUAGACUUGUCUAUGUUGCAUGAAUGAGUGGUUCAUUUCUGUUUAUCACUGAGUAUUUUUCCAGUGUAUGUAUAUACCACAAUUUGUUUAUAUACCACAAAUGUUGAUGGACAUUUAGGCUUUGUCCAGUUUUGUCUAUUAUGAAUAAAGCCAUUAUGAACAUCUAUGUACAAGUUUUUGUGUGGACAUGUUUUCUCUUGGGUAAAUAUCUAGGAGUAAGACUACUGGGUUGUAUGCUAAGUGUAUGUUUAAUUUUAAAAGAAAUGGCAGCCGAGUGCGGUGGCUCAUGCCUGUAAUCUUAGCAAUUUGGGAGGCCGAGGCGGGCAGAUCACCUGAGGUCAGGAGUUCGAGACCAGCCUGGCCAACAUGACGAAACCCUGUGUCUACUAAAAAUACAAAAAAAAUUUGCCACGCAUGGUGGCACACACCUGUAAUCCCGCUACUUGGGAGGCUAAGGCAGGAGAAUCGCUUGAACCUGGGAGGUGGAGGUGAGACUGAGCCAAGCUCACACCACUGUACUCCAGCCUGAGCGACAGAGCGAGACUCCAUCUCAAAAAAAAUAAAAAAUGGCCAAACUGUUUUCCAAAGUCCUGGUACCAUCUUACAUCCUACCGGUAAAGUUAUGAGAGUUGUAGUUGCCCUACAUUCUCACCAAUACUUGCUAUUAUCAGUCUUUUUAAUUUUCACCAUCCUAAUGGAUACGUAGUGGUAUCUCACUGUGGUUUUACUUUGCAUUUCCCUGAUGGCUAAUGAUGUUGACAUAUUUUUGUGUGCAUGUUGGAUACUAAUAUAUCUUUGUAAAGUGCCUAUUCAGUGUCUUUUCCAAUUUAGUUGGGUUGCUAAAAAGUCUUCAUAUAUUCCAGAUACAAUACCUUUGGCAGGUAUGUAGAUAUGUGUUGUGUGACUAUUUUCUCCCAGUCUGUGACUUGUCUUCAUUUUGUUAGCAUUGUCUUUUGAAGAGCAGAAGUCUUUAACUUUGUAAAAGUCUAAUUUUUUGCUAUCUUCUUUUAUAGCUCUUGUCUUUUUUUGUUUUUUUGUGUGUGUGUAUUCAAUUAUCUAAGAACUCUUUGACUCCCUUCAGAUCAUGUAAAUGUUCUCCUGUUUUAUUUUAGAAAUUUUAAUUUUACCUUUUUUUUUUUUUUUGAGACAGAGUCUUGCUCUGUCACCCAGGCUGGAGUGUAGUGACGUGAUCUCAGCUCACCGCAGCCUCUGCCUCCCAGGUUCCAGCAAUUCUGCCUCAGCUUCCCAAGUAGCUGGGACUACAGGAGGCAAGCACUGCGAUGCCCAGCUAAUUUUUGUAUUUUUAGUAGAGACAGGGUUUCACCAUGUUGGCCAGUAUGGUCUUGAUCUCCUGACCUGGUGAUCCACCCGCUUCGUUCUCCCAUAGUGCUGGGAUUACAGGCGUGAGCCACCGCACCCAUCCAAGUUUUACCUUUUAAGCUUAGGUACAUGAUCCAAUUUGAGGUGAAUUUUGUGUAUGAGUAAGUUAAUAAUCAAUGUUCAUUUUUUCCCAUAUGGAUAUCCAGUUUUUCCGGUACCAUUUGUUGAAAAGACUGUCUUUCCCCUAUUGACUUACUGUGGCCACUUUGUCAAAAAUUACUUGCCCAUAGACAUGCGGGUUCAUUUAUUUUGUUCCAUUGAUCCAAAUGUUGAUCCUUUAAUAAUAAUGUAGCUUUAUAGUCAGUCUUGAAAUUUGAUAGUUUGAAUAUUCCAACUUUGUUGUUCUUUUUCAAAAAUUUUUUGCAUUCUAAGUCCUUUGUGUUUUUAUAUAAAUUUUAGAAUAAGUUAUGUAAGUGCCUGCUGGGAUUUUCUUUUUUUUGAGACAGGGUCUUACUAUGUCACCCAGACUGAAGUGCAGUGGCAUGAUCACAGGUCAUUGCAUCCUCAACCACCCAGACUCAAGCAAUCCUCCUGUCUCAGCCUUCCAAGUAACUGAGACCACAGAAAUAACCAUGGAUAUGGGUAGAGACAGAGCCAUAUGGAAUGCACACUGCAGUGGUGAACACAUGGCCCAGCUCUGCCAUCAAGGAGAAGGAACAUGAAUGGAGCUGGAGGCCAUCAUCCUUAGUGAACUAACACAGGAGCAGAAAACCAAAUACCACAUGUUCUCAUGUGUAAGUGGGAGCUAAAUGAUGAGAACACAUGGACACAAAGAGGGGAACAACAGACACUGAAGCCUCCUUGAGGGAGGAGGGUAAGAGGAAGGAGAAGAUCAGAAAAGAUAACUACCAGGUACUAUGGUAGCUUAGUACCUGGGUGAUGAAAUAAUCUGUACACCCAACCCUCAUGACAGAAGUUUACCUGUGUAACAAACCUGCACAUGUAUCCCUGAAACUAAAAGUUUUUUAAAAAGUUAUUUAAUAUAUAUAUAUUUUUUUGAGACGGAGUUUUGCUCUUGUUGCCCAGGCUGGAGUGCGGUGGCGCAAUUUCGGCUCACCACAACCUCCGCCUCCCAGGUUCAAGCUAUUCCCCUGCCUCAGCCUCCCUAGUAGCUGGGAUUACAGGCUUGUGCCACCACGCCGGCUAAUUUUGUAUUUUUUGUAGAGACGGGGUUUCUCCAUGUUGGUCAGGCUGGUCUCGAACUCCCGACCUCAGGUGAUCCACCCCCCUCGGCCUCCCAAAGUGCUAGGAUUACAGGCAUGAGCCACUGCGCCCGGCAAAAAGUUAUUUAAUAUUAAUGGGACAAUACUCAUUGCAAGAAUCAGACUUCAAUUGCUAGCAUAAGUAAAUGACAGGCAGGAGAUAUUGAAAAUGCAAUCUUAUAGACAUUCAAGGAGAGGACGCAGGACAUUUCUGUGUCAUAAAUGUACUAUGGAAAAUAAAAAUGAGAAAAAUGGAAAUAAAAUACAAGAAAAGGUUAUGAUAAAUUUCAUAUUAUUUUACCACAAUAAAAAAAUUUUAAUAAAUUAUAAAUGGUGUGAUAUGUUUUGCCUGUGUUCCACCCAAAUCUCAUCUUGAAUUAGAGCUCCCACAAUUCCCACGUGUUGUGGCUGGGACCCUGUGGGAGAUAAUUGAAUCAUGGGGGCAGUUUACCCCAUACUGUUCUCUUGGUGGUGAAUAAGUCUCAUGAGAGUUGAUGGUUUGAUAAGGGGUUUCCCCUUUUGCUUGGCUCUCAUUCUCUCUUGACUGCCACCAUGUAAGAUGUGCCUUUUGCCUUCCACCAUGAUUGUGAAGCCUCCCAGCCACAUGGAACUGUGAGUC